GGUGGUAUGGUCUAGUGGUAUGACGACGUGUUGUGGUCAGUCUACAGAUCCGCGUUAGCCCGUGUUCGAUUCACGGUACCGCCA
rnacentral:tRNA from 1 species